rnacentral:rRNA from 1 species
UACGGGAGGCAGCAGUGGGGAAUAUUGCACAAUGGGCGCAAGCCUGAUGCAGCCAUGCCGCGUGUAUGAAAAAGGCCUUCGGGUUGUAAAGUACUUUCAGUCGUGAGGAAGGUGUUAAGGUUAAUAACCUUAGCAAUUGACGUUAGCGACAGAAGAAGCACCGGCUAACUCCGUGCCAGCAGCCGCGGUAAUACGGAGGGUGCGAGCGUUAAUCGGAAUUACUGGGCGUAAAGGGCACGCAGGCGGUUAAUUAAGUUGGAUGUGAAAUCCCCGGGCUUAACCUGGGAAUGGCAUUCAAGACUGGUUAGCUAGAGUCUUGUAGAGGGGGUAGAAUUCCAUGUGUAGCGGUGAAAUGCGUAGAGAUGUGGAGGAAUACCGGUGGCGAAGGCGGCCCCUGGACAAAGACUGACGCUCAUGUGCGAAAGCGUGGGGAGCAAACGAGGGAUUAGACC